rnacentral:hammerhead_ribozyme from 1 species
AUCUAGCUGACGAGCCGUAAAUAGAACGAAACGCGUGUCCUGAAU